rnacentral:lncRNA from 1 species
GGGGGUGAGUGCGGACUUGGAAUUUAGGAGAGGAGGAAAGGGUAGUUUUGGGAUUUUGUGAGGUCUGAUAAGCAACUGUGAAGAAGCAAAAGAAGAUGAAGAGGGAGAUGAAGAAGUAACGAAAGCCAUGAGUGAAUUUUUUCUGAAGGUUAGCUCCCAGUCAGCAGCCACACCCACACCUUACAAGGGUUUAUGGGUUUUGUCUCAUUUUAUUUUUAUUUAUUUAUUUCUUUGAUAAAAACGGGUUUUUAUUUUUUAUUUUUUUUGAAUUUUUUCUGAAGGUUAGCUCCCAGUCAGCAGCCACACCCACACCUUACAAGGGUUUAUGGGUU